rnacentral:lncRNA from 1 species
UUCUAGAUCUCUUUCCUCUGCUUGCAUAUAUAAUUUACAAUUGCUAAGACCCAAGAGACAAAGUGCUCAUUCAUCUUCUUCAAAUCUCUUCUUCUCCUGAUGAUGGUGCAAAGCUUAUGGGUUACGAGCUAAAUCAACUGUACUAUUAAAGCUUCAUUUGGUAAUUGUACAAGUCUUUUUGUACUUUGUGGGGGUGAUAAAAAGGUUUUUUGAUUAUCUCAUCUAUUGCUAUUUAUUUUUAAGUCAAUAAAUUUAAUAAAGAAGAUUGUUUCAAAAAGUAUAACUUUGAUGCCCUGUUAUUUUGUGUGCCAAAUUGUGACAUAAGUUAUUGUUCCUGAGAAGAAUCCAUAACCUAUAUUAAUUCUUGGCUAAUAAUAUAAUGAUUCCCAAGAAGAAAUUGUCGAUCUAGCGGAGAUUGUUCUGUUCUUAGAAGUGUCAUUUGAACUUCAUCUAUCUUGAUUGUUGUCUAAUAAAUAUAAUGAAUUGGAGAGGUCUGCCUAAUAAUGUAGAUAGUAACUCUUUUGGCCAUUAUUUUUCUAAAUAAAAGCUCCAAUUCAAAAUUCUCAAUUUUACUACCAAUUUGUAUGUUAAUGUGAGUUGCAUAAUAAAUGAAUCCACGGGCAAAAAAUCGUUUCUCAUUCAUUAAAUUUCUUUUAACCUUGUGCACUCACGUGACCUUAAAACAUCCUCCUUCUUCAAAGCAAAGAUAUCGGCUCUUGCUGAAGCAGAAUAGCCCUUCAAUUUGUAGAAGCUUAGUAGCUCAGUUGGUUUUUGUUGACUACCUGAACUCCGCCUUGUUGGUGACGGUUUGAUUCUCCACAUUGUAAUCCCCUUCGCAUUUUCCCUUUCCCUAUCCCUACCACUACCUCUACCCCCAAUUUUAACCCAAAAAAAAGAAAGAAUAAUAGCCUUCAAUUCUUCUUAUUCACUUAGAAGAAUAUUUUAACUCUAUCUAUACUUAUAUUUCUUACAAUUUUCAUUUUUCAAUUUCACUGUUGAAUUUCUUUGAGUGUUGUUGUUCCAUGAUGAAAUUUCUCUACCUAUGAAGAGAAGGAAAAAAAAUAAAAUUUGGCUUGAAGAAAAUUCCUUUGUAGAUUUGAUACGAUUUCCUUGUUAUUUUUAAUGUCAUUGUUGACAGAAAGUUCCAAUCUAACUUUUCCUUUCUGCCAAUUAAGUUGAAAGCAGAGAAACAUAUACUUUACAUACAGUUUCCUUGCCAUUUUCAGCUUCUCUUAACAGUUGAUUUUUGCUCUCUUUGUAGGCGUUGUCGAUUCAACAAACACUUAAAACUUGUGAUCCUUAUGAUUGUGAACUGAGAAGUAUAUAGAAUUGGAUCCAGGUGUAUUCUGUCACAUUUUCUGAAAAACAAUAGCAAGGAACAUAACUAAAAGAUGUGGCAUAGUAUUUUUUUCUCAAAAACAGUUGUCCGCCACAAUUAUAAAUGGCCAGCUUAAGUUGUGUGGAAUAAGCACGACAUCUAUUGUACCCUAUGUUUUCAAACACAAUUGGCAUGUAGGAGAAAGUCUUACCAUGUGACCUGAAUAAAUUAUUGUCUAAUAUCUACCAGUGUUUUUCUUGACAUGUAAGAGUAGAAGUCACUUUGUUAUUUGGGACCAAGGGAUUGUUUGUCCUUCACUGAAUUAGUUGAGCUAUAAAAAAGAGUAUCUAUGAAUUUUAUUAAAUUUUAAUAAGCGGUUGGUGAGCGCCAAGAGAAUCCUCAUGUUCUAGGGGUUUGGUUUAACAGUAAAUGUUGUGCUAUGUGGAACACAAAGAUGUGCUAGCUGUAUCACAAGUUUGAAACUUGACUGCUAGACCAAAUUUUACAUUUAAGUGAAGAACAACAGUGAUAAAUCCAUUAUCUUGAAAAUAUUCUGGUCAUAAAAAAUAUUUGACGAGAGAGUCAACAAGAUCAUGUUGUUAGGAAAAUGUUCCAAGAGUCUGUGUUCUUUUGCUACUCGCUAUUCUUUUCCUGUUUCGAUGUUUCAUUUAUCUCUUCAUAUGAGUUUUAAAAACUUUUUCCUUGGAGAUUUUCAUUCUUCAGUCCUCCGAUGUCGUAUCUACAUGUUUUAUAGAGUUGCUUUUAUAUAUUCCUCACCCUGGAUUUGAAAUACCAAGUGUCAGUCACUCUUAAUUUUAUGCUGAUCUGAGAUCUCCAUGUUGAACAUCAUAUUUUUACUUGUUUUGUUCAUAGAUUUUCCAGUUGCACCACACUUUAAAAUCAUUUGAAUUUUAUCAAAUUUUAAAUUAUAUUAUAUCUAGCUUUGAAGUUUUAUGGAAGAAAAUAUUUAGGUACAGAACAUAUGGCACAGUAAAAUCAAUUUUUUUUUUAUUAAUUUUGACAAAGACCAAAUGGAGAAUUGAGAUUCUGCACUCCUCUUGUGAACCAUUGCGGAAGGCAAGGGUACUACAAAAAGAGAAUCGUUUACCUCGGAGCCAAUUUUUCAAGACCAUUCCUUGUAGUAAUUUUAUGUCAAUAUGGUUAGUGAAUUAAAUAUUGAUUAUUUUGAGGCUAUAUUGUUUACUUCAACUAUUUUUUUUUCCUUAUAUCUUUGAGUUUGUUUACCUACUUAAAUUCUUAUAUACGUUUUCUACUAAUUUUUAGUAAAGAUUAAGUUCAAAAGAAUGUAACAUAAUGAAAAAUUGUUGUAAUUUGACGUCGAACUUACUGCUUCCCUUUGUUUACUUCAACUAUUUUUUUUUCCUUAUAUCUUUGAGUUUGUUUACCUACUUAAAUUCUUAUAUACGUUUUCUACUAAUUUUUAGUAAAGAUUAAGUUCAAAAGAAUGUAACAUAAUGAAAAAUUGUUGUAAUUUGACGUCGAACUUACUGCUUCCUUUUUAGCUAUGUCUUACCUCUUGUGCCAUUGUGAUUGCAAUCACUGCCUAAUAUAAGAAGAAAGUGAUGGUAAAUAGUCAAUAUAUGGUCAUUUCAUGCAAGAAUGGAUGCAGAAGCUUAGGCAGAGUGUGUACUUUGCGUUGGAAGGGUUGCACCUAGCCGUUAAGUUGGUUAGGUUUUAUUUAAGAAGAAUAGUUUCAUGUUGCUCAGUUUAGUCCAAUAGGUUUUAAAGUUGUUUCUAUUAUUAUCAAAAUUGCCCGAUAUGUUUGAGCAUUGGAUACUUUAGGUCCAAUUGCUGGCCACUUAUGCUUCUAUUUAAGUAUUGUAUUUGUCCUUGUUGAAUUGAAGCAGAGAAUUGUUUAGCUAAAUAGAGCAUAGCUUGUUUCUUACUCUUUUUCUUUUCCUUUCUUUCUUUUCUUAGCUUCUUACUCUUCCAUUACUGUCUUAUUACUUUUCAAUGUUGUCCUUAGCUUAAUUGUAUCAUCAUUCUUGAUUGUAUGAUUUGUAUCCAUAAGUCAUUUUGAAUCGUGAAAUGAUUAUCAGUUAAGAACAAAUUUUAGAGAGGAUUUAGUUAGCAUGCUUAUGAAGUCGUAAAGUCUUAAACCUUUCCCAUCAUAAAAAAGUUAUGGUCGCUUUUUGGGAGUUUUCCGCUGAAUCAUAUGCUUCAUUUAAGGGAGAUUUGAUUUGUCUAUAUUUGAUCCUUCAAUUUCUUAUGUUUAUCUCUUAUGUCUAUUAUAAUUAUUAAAGUGUUCAUUUGAUAUAUGCAGAUGGAAGGCCUUGGAUUGUGUAGCUCUUAGAAAGAGUUGUGUCAUUCUUCAAGGAUCACAAAGGUUCGAUAUACUUAAUAAAAUCUUUUUUUUAAUUAUUUGCUAUGCUAUGUAAUUUUUAUAUCUAUUUGUCACGGUUGUUGCCUUUUUAGGGGGCUAUUGGUUUGAGUUAAAUGACAAUCAUCAUGUUAAUAAAAAAAUUCUCUCGGAAUUACUUUGAUAAAUUAUUUUAGAAGGUCAUUUUAUUCUUGAAAUACCAAUGAUUGUGAGAUGGAUUCUUUCUCCUAAAUUCUAAUGAUGUGUAUAUUGAUCAAUAACAUCAUAUGGGCACAACUUAGAUUUCUACUAUGACUGGUAUAAUUUAAAAAUUAAAGCCCUACCUUCUUUUACCAAGUAAUGUUAUUGCAAGAUUUUACGCUCUCAAAGCUGACAUACUACAUGAUCUUCUUUUUCAUUGAAGGUUUGGUGUUAGAUAUGUCAAAUAAAUAUAUCUUUAAGUUCAACAACAACCAUGAUAGUAAGUGCGAUAUUGUUGUGUCGGAAAAUGCGUAUGCGAAUGUUUAAUAUU